rnacentral:rRNA from 1 species
CCCCACUGCUAUCGGGAUGGGACUAAGACAUGCUAGUCGAGCGUCUCCAAGCUAUGGAAGAGACGCGGCACACAGCUCAGUAACACGUGGCUAACCUGCCCUUGGGACAAGGACAACCCCGGGAAACUGGGGCUAAUCCCUGAUAAGUGAGAACUCCUGGAAUGGAUUCUCGCUCAAAGGACGUUUAGACCAUGCUUCUAGGCGUCGCCCAAGGAGGGGGCCGCGACCGAUCAGGUCGUUGGUGAGGUAACGGCUCACCAAGCCUUUAACCGGUACGGGCCGUGAGAGCGGAAGCCCGGAGAUGGGCACUGAGACAAGGGCCCAGGCCCUACGGGGCGCAGCAGUCGCGAAAACUCCGCAAUACACGAAAGUGUGACGGGGCUAUCCCGAGUGCCAUCCGCUGAGGAUGGCUUUUCCCCAGUGUAUAAAGCUGGGGGAAUAAGGAGAGGGCAAGCCUGGUGUCAGCCGCCGCGGUAAUACCAGCUCUCCGAGUGGUGGGGAUGUUUAUUGGGCCUAAAGCAUUCGUAGCCUGCUUGGCAAGUCCUCCGUUAAAUCCAACGAUUCAAUCGUUGGGCUGCGGGGGAUACCGUCCGGCUAGGGGGCGGGAGAGGCCGACGGUAUCCCCGGGGUAGGGGUGAAAUCCUAUAAUCCCGGGAGGACCACCAGUGGCGAAGGCUGUCGGCUAGAACGCGCUCGACGGUGAGGGAUGAAAGCUGGGGGAGCGAACCGGAUUAGAUACCCGGGUAGUCCCAGCUGUAAACGAUGCAGGCUAGGUGUUGGCGCGGCUACGUGCCGCUCCAGUGCCGCAGGGAAGCCGUUAAGCCUGCCGCCUGGGAAGUACGGCCGCAAGGCUGAAACUUAAAGGAAUUGGCGGGGGAGCACCACAAGGUGUGAAGCUUGCGGUUU